CCUACGGGUGGCAGCAGUGAGGAAUAUUGGUCAAUGGACGCAAGUCUGAACCAGCCAUGCCGCGUGCAGGAAGACGGCCCUAUGAGUUGUAAACUGCUUUUGUACGGGGGUAAACGCAGAUACGCGUAUCUGUUUGAAAGUAUCGCAUGAAUAAGGACCGGCUAAUUCCGUGCCAGCAGCCGCGGUAAUACGGAGGAUUCAAGCGUUAUCCGGAUUUAUUGGGUUUAAAGGGUGCGUAGGCGGUCGGGUAAGUUAGAGGUGAAAUCCCGGGGCUCAACCUCGGCAUUGCCGCUGGUACUGGUCGGCUAGAGAGUAGUGGAGGUAGGCGGAAUGUGUGGUGUAGCGGUGAAAUGCUUAGAGAUCAUGCAGAACACCGAUUGCGAAGGCAGCUUACCAAGCUACUUCUGACGUUGAGGCACGAAGGCGUGGGGAGCGAACAGGAUUAGAUACCCUUGUAGUC
rnacentral:rRNA from 1 species